UUGGAGGGCAAGUCUGGUGCCAGCAGCCGCGGUAAUUCCAGCUCCAAUAGCGUAUAUUAAAGUUGUUGCAGUUAAAAAGCUCGUAGUUGAACUUCGGGGUUUACCCAUUGGUCAGGCUUAAUUGUCUGCACUGGUGAGAUGAAUCUCUACCUUCUGAGGAACUUUCAUGCCAUUCAUUUGGUGUGAUGGGAAAUCAGGACUGUUACUUUGAAAAAAAUUAGAGUGUUUAAAGCAGGCUAACGUCUGAAUACAUUAGCAUGGAAUAAUGAAAUAGGACGGACUGAUUCUAUUUCGUUGGUUUCUAGGAUCACCGUAAUGAUUAAUAGGGAUAGUUGGGGGCAUUAGUAUUCAAUUGUCAGAGGUGAAAUUCUUGGAUUUAUUGAAGACUAACUACUGCGAAAGCAUUUGCCAAGGAUGUUUUCAUUAAUCAAGAACGAAAGUUAGGGGAUCGAAGACGAUCAGAUACCGUCGUAGUCUUAACCAUAAACUAUGCCGACUAGGGAUCGGACGAAGUUAAUUUUAUAAUGACGCGUUCGGCACCUUACGGGAAACCAAAGUGUUUGGGUUC
rnacentral:rRNA from 1 species